GAAAGCCCCCCAGCACUCACCCGCUCUCCUCCUGCCUGCGCACAGCCAAGGCCGGAGGGCGGGCGGGUGUCCGGGCUCGUUUGCUCUCAGCGGCGUCACCUGCAGCUCUCCGCCCGCCGGGACGGACCCUCGCCCUGGGAACGCCCUGACUCGGGCCCGGGCCCGGGCACUGCGGCCCUGGCCAAGCGUCCUUAUCCUUUCCACCUGGAGGCUGCGGGGGCGGUGGGAAGCACAGGCCUUACCACCGAGAGGAUUGUGAGGCUCGUCAGGCUCUUAGGAGGAGUGCGUUAUUUCAAGCAAGAAGCAGUGCCAAUGUCUUAAAUGGGGAAAAAACACAUAUGGAAAUUGAAGCUGAUCAAAAUUAAGCAUCCAAGAUCUGCUGUAUUUCUCCUUUGAGAAUUCAUAACAGCAACAGAUACUUUAGAUGUAAGGCCUGUUCAGAGGUCCCUCUCAGGUCCAACAUGUUGGACUCGUUGUGCAGCAGGAAGGAUCGUCAGUAUUUCUUACUGAAGUAAUCUUUUUCUCCUAAGGUUCUGUCAAGCUAGACACUUUAAAAGAGACUGAGAGCUGUGCAGCCGGGGCCGGAGUCGAUGUAUCAUAUCUCCCUCUGCUGGGAGGCACCGCAAUCGCUCAGCCGCCUGUCGCCACCGGAGCUGCCUUCAGAAACAGCGAGGGCAACGCUCGCCUCAGGUCCCAACAAAUAGGAACUGACAAAUAUUUGUUGAUGGGAAAUGUUUUCAUAUGGUAUCAUUCCAUUGGAAUAAGGAAAAUAGUUUGAAUACUGGACUUCAAAUGCUCAUGAUGAAUUGUGUAUGAAUGAGCUACAGCUCAGGAGAUGUUCAGAGAAAAUAUUCACCAAACAAAUGUGAAGAGAGAAUAAAUAAAUAAGAAAUUUG